GGGGUCACCCAUCCUAGCACUAAUGCACCGGAUCCCAUCAGAACUCCGCAGUUAAGCGUGCUUGGGCGAGAGUAGUACUAGGAUGGGUGACCCCCUGGGAAGUCCUCGUGUUGCAACCC
rnacentral:rRNA from 1 species